UGUUCAGCAUUUUCAGAGCUGUAUAAUUAAUUUUAUGUCAUAUUCAUUUUUAACGAUGGAGAGUGUAAUUUAUUUGCUUUAAUUAGAAUGUGUUGGAAUUGAAAAUAGAAGAAUAUGAUUUGAGUAUCAAAGGCGUCACAUUUGCGGUUAAGACGGCAACUAAGACCACAAGUGAAACAAAACGAAUUGCAGUCAAAGGGGGAAAAAGCAUAACCGCAAAUGGCUUUCUGUAAUUUUUGGACUUUUUGUGAACUUAAACGUAUCGAUAGUUAUUAUGAGCAAUACACUUUUCGGUAAACGUUUCGAUUCUGUUAUUGUUUCAUUUUGUUUCGGAGCAAAUGGCAUUGAAAUUAA